rnacentral:rRNA from 1 species
GAGACUUUUUAUUUGAUGCUUGCAUCUUUUAAAAAGUUGAGUGCCGUACGGGUGAGUAACACGUGGGUAACCUGCCUUAAAGUGGGGGAUAACACUUGGAAACAGGUGCUAAUACCGCAUAACCAUCAAAACCGCCUGGUUUUGAUGUUAAAGAUGGUUCUGCUAUCGCUUUAAGAUGGACCCGCGGCGUAUUAGCUAGUUGGUGAGGUAAUGGCUUACCAAGGCAAUGAUACGUAGCCGAACUGAGAGGUUGAUCGGCCACAUUGGGACUGAGACACGGCCCAAACUCCUACGGGAGGCAGCAGUAGGGAAUCUUCCACAAUGGACGAAAGUCUGAUGGAGCAACGCCGCGUGAGUGAAGAAGGUUUUCGGAUCGUAAAACUCUGUUGUCAGAGAAGAACGUGUGUGAGAGUAACUGUUCACGCAGUGACGGUAUCUGACCAGAAAGUCACGGCUAACUACGUGCCAGCAGCCGCGGUAAUACGUAGGUGGCAAGCGUUGUCCGGAUUUAUUGGGCGUAAAGGGAACGCAGGCGGUCUUUUAAGUCUGAUGUGAAAGCCUUCGGCUUAACCGAAGUCGGGCAUUGGAAACUGGGAGACUUGAGUGCAGAAGAGGAGAGUGGAACUCCAUGUGUAGCGGUGAAAUGCGUAGAUAUAUGGAAGAACACCAGUGGCGAAAGCGGCUCUCUGGUCUGUAACUGACGCUGAGGUUCGAAAGCGUGGGUAGCAAACAGGAUUAGAUACCCUGGUAGUCC